UACGGAGGGUGCGAGCGUUGUCCGGAAUCAGCUGGGCGUAAAGGGCGCGUAGGCGGCCGUGUAAGUCACUUGUGAAAUCCCGGGGCUCGACUCCGGGGCUGCAGGUGAGACUGCGUGGCUAGAGCUUGGUAGAGGCGAGUGGAAUUCCCGGUGUAGCGGUGGAAUGCGUAGAUAUCGGGAAGAACACCGGUGGCGAAGGCGGCUCGCUGGGCCAAUGCUGACGCUGGAGGUGCGAAAGCGUGGGGAGCAAACAGG
rnacentral:rRNA from 1 species